rnacentral:lncRNA from 1 species
ACAAGCAAAGGUAAAGCAUAAAAAAAAUUGAAUUACCUUCUGCUUCGAUGUUUGGGAGGUUGACGCCCUGGGAAGAAGGUGGCUCAUCCAUUGGUUGUGAUGAGGAUUCUGGGACUGAAGAUGUCUCUUUAAGCGUAGUCCCUUCAUCAGCCGGUUUGGAUGAAGCAGCCUCAGCGGAGGAUGAUGGAGCAGGAGCUGCCGAUACCAAAGCCUUUAAAGGAGAAGCU